UGCCCAAGGGUCUGGGAUAACCCCGGGAAAUGGGGAUAAUACCGGAUGGAUCACUAGUGCUGGAAUGCUUGGUGGUUUAAAGGCAACGCCUUUGGAUGGGUCUGCGGCGGAUUAGGUUGACGCCGGUGUAACGUACCGGCGUGCCUGUAAUCCGUACGGGUUGUGGGAGCAAGAGCCCGGAGAUGGAUUCUGAGACACGAAUCCAGGCCCUACGGGGCGCAGCAGGCGCGAAAACUCUACAAUGCAGGCAACUGCGAUAGGGGGACAUCGAGUGGCAUCCACCUUGGGUGCCUGUCCAACCGUCUAAAAAACGGUUGUUAGCAAGGGCCGGGUAAGACCGGUGCCAGCCGCCGCGGUAAUACCGGCGGCUCGAGUGGUGGCCGAUAUUAUUGAGUCUAAAGGGUCCGUAGCCGGCUUUGCAAGUCCCCUGGGAAAUCCAGCGGCCUAACCGUUGGGCUUUCAUGGGAUACUACAUUGCUUGGGACUGGGAGAGGUAGGAGGUACUCGGGGGGUAGGGGUGAAAUCCUGUAAUCCUCCGGGGACCACCGGUGGCGAAGGCGUCCUACCAGAACAGGUCCGACGGUGAGGGACGAAAGCUAGGGGCACGAACCGGAUUAGAUACCCGGGUAGUCCUAGCCGUAAACGAUGCCCGCUAGGUGUCACGACGGUCGUGAAUCGUCGUGGUGCCGUAGGGAAGCCGCGAAGCGGGCCACUUGGGAAGUACG
rnacentral:rRNA from 1 species